rnacentral:rRNA from 1 species
UACAGAGGGGGCAAGCGUUGUUCGGAAUUACUGGGCGUAAAGGGCGCGUAGGCGGCCGCCUAAGUCAGACGUGAAAUCCCUCGGCUCAACCGGGGAACUGCGUCUGAUACUGGGUGGCUUGAAUUCGGGAGAGGGAUGCGGAAUUCCAGGUGUAGCGGUGAAAUUCGUAGAUAUUCGGAGGAACACCAGUGGCGAAGGCGGCUCGCUGGACUUUUGCUGACGCUGAGACGCGAAAGCGUGGGGAGCAAACAGG